UUCCGCCGCAAAUUGGAACGCGAAAUUAAACAUCUUCGCGAGAUCGUGGCCAAUUUGAAAUCAUCCGUCGCUGAUCAAAUUGUAGUUUUUCGGUCAACUUCGAUAUGUGUUGUCUGCCUGGGAAAUGGCCUUCAACACUGAUGCAACCGACCGGCACUCUUUCUGGAAAAGAACGAAACACCAUCCCGCAGCUUCAUAGAACGUUUCCGAAUCGAUGCACAGGGAACCAGCGGACAGCACAUAAGUCUGGCCGUAAAAUGCAUUUUCCAAUGACGGCGAAUGGUGUUCUUUACGCAACGGGGCGCAGUAUCAGGUGACAUCAGUCGGUUAGAGAAAUACAUUCCUUCAGGAAAGCUCUCUUCGAUGCAAACCAAGUUCCCAGACCGUGGGAACCUACACGCAGAAAAAGAAUGGGGGUUGGUUUCCACAAAACGUUUUGUUAUUUUAUUUUACUUUACCAAUGUAGAUUUUGUGGUAGCUUUCACUAAAAAAUCAAUCGGAAAUAAUAAUAAAAUUUUGUAAUU